CCCCUGCCUCAGUCUCAUGUUCCAGGAUUACAGAUUAAAAACCCACAGGAGCCAAGGACAUCUGAGCCUCAGCCUCGCAGGCCCUUUCACUACCUCAGCACCACAGCUGCCAGCUCCAGUACUUAGCAUCUACGAUGCUGUGUCUACCCUUUCCCCAGUCCAUUUCCUGUGACCAGCUGAAGCUAGACCUAGACUAUCCUCACUAAUUUCCUCACGCCUGUUCAAAACCCUCAAGUUCUUCCCUGUUCAGGUCAAGGCUCUUUGCUCUUCUUAGGCUGUCAACAUUUUCCACAGUUUGAUCAUAUCUGGACAAUACCUCUGCCAGGUGGCUCUACUGUGAUGGAAAGUUUAAUGGCUUGGGAUAGAGCUGCUUUCAAAUUGUAGCCUUGUGUUCAGUGGAAUGACCUUGUGUAAUUGGUUGACUCCCGGUGUCUCCGAUCCUCAUUUGCAAAAUGAGGAUAACAAUGCCUAUGUCAUAGAAAACUUAAUGAGGGUUUAAUUAGAUAAUAUGUGUGGAGGCUGUGUAGCAUUGUGCUCAGAACCCACGUUUGAAAUGACUCACUUGGCUUACACCCAGACUUUUCCACUUACUAAUUACGUGACCUCGAGCAAAUUCCUUGACCUCUCUGGACUUUGUCUUUUUCCUUUGUAAAGUAGGGAUUCUAAACUGUGCUAAGGUCUGUAGUAAGGACAAGGUGAUUUAUAUAUGGGAAGUGCUUAACAUAGUACCUGGCACACUGUACAUUUUAGCAGGUUAAGCUAUUGUUACUUUGUGGCAAGAAACCCAGUCUAAUGUUUGGCAUAUAAUCAGCAUUUAUAUGUUUACUGAGUUUGUUAAUAAAUCUUUUUUUUUUUUUGAUAAAAGGUCUCCUGUAGCCCAUCCUGGUCUCAAACUCCCUGUGUAGCUGAUCAGAGUGGAACUUCUGAUCCUCCUGCCUCCACCUUCAGUUGCUAGGAGUACAGGCAUGAACACACCAUGCUUGGUGCCUGUGGGACUUUGGGAAGAAACCUAAGGCCUCAUGAAUGCUAAGCAAACACUACCUCCCUAGCCUCUGAAUUAAUCUCAUUGAUAUGGUCUUCUUUCCUAUGAAUAUAAGUACAGUCUCACACACCCUCUCCCAAGACAGGCGAACUACUUCCAUUUCUAUGCUUGUAUUUUCAUCGUUUUUGCCCUUGGUUGUGGUUUUCCUCAUUUUUAGAAUGUCAUAAUCUCUCUUUGCUGACUAUGGAAAUUCUGGUUCUGUAAAGUCGGUCCUAAUCCUCGUCUCCAUGAAACUUUCCCUCAUCAUUUCUGGGAUCAGCAAAGUUUCGAUUUCCUGAACCAUUUACCAGCCUCUUUUUCUUUUUCUCUUCUUUUCUUUCCUUUCCUUUUAUCUUCUUCUUCUUCCUCCUCCUCCUCCUCUUUUGACAGGGUUUUGCUAUAUAGCUCAGGCCUGCCUCAAAUUUUCCAUCCUCUGCCUCAGCCUCCUAAAUGCUAGGAAUGCAACAUUAACCACCUUACUGGGGUCCAGUUACUCUUGCUUUAGUACUUGAUGGUAAUAUUCUAGUGGAAACACUUAGCUCCUGUUUCCUGUGUGCUGGUUUUGUCUUCAAAUAGUUUAGGAAAUAUUCUCCAAUUUAGUAUUGUUUCAGAACACAUACUAAACAUAUAGUAAUUAUUUAACUUAUGUUGCAUCAUCUUUUGGGAUAAGAUUCCCAUAUUAUAUUUAGACUAUGUAUUUAUCAGAGUUCUCUAGAGUCACAGAAUUUAUGGAAUAUAUUUACAUAUUAAGAAAUUAGAAUGAUUUAUAGUCUGCAGUCCAACUAACCCAACAAUGGGCGGCUGUGAAUGAUAAGUCAGAGAGUCUAGUAUUGCUCGGUCCCGUGCAGGUAGGUGUUUUAACUAGUCCUCUGUAUAAGCUGGCAUCCUAAAGAAGUAGGCUCCAACAGAUGUGCUGGCAGGUAAGCACAAGCAGGCAAAGAAGGAAGCCUUCCCUUUUCCAUUGUCCUUACUUACGUAGGCCUCCAGCAGCCGAAGGUACAGUCCAGAUUAAAGGUGUGUACCACCGUGAUUGGACCUAAGCUUUUCUUUACUUGGAAUUUGGUCUGUCCCAGGCUGGCCUUGAACUCAGAAAUCUGCUCGCCUCUGUCUCCUGAGAUUAAAGGUGUGCACCACCUUGCCUGAGCCUAAGCUUUUCAUGGUUACUAUGCCUCAAGAUCUGGAUCACAGAUGUGCCCACCAUUUCUGGAUUGUAGUUCAUUCCAAACAUUGUCAAGUUGACAAUCAGGAAUAGUCACCACAGGAUAGGAUUUGAUACUUUUUUUUUUUUUUUCAAGAAAGAGUCCAGAAUUCUGGAAUAAUUUUUCCGAUCUACUGUCUUACCAAUGGAUUGGCGUGUGACAGAUGCAGCUUGCUUUGGCUAAGUAGUACUGUAUAAGCCAAGGGCUGGAGCCUCUGGGUCAGAGGGUUGGAGAAGGGCUGAAGCCUAGGAGCCCUGCAGGUGGAGGGCCAGAGACUGACCCUUGCUGAUGCAGACAGGGAAGUGUCCCCGUUUAGAUCUGGUUCUUGCCACAACAGGCUUUGCCUCUCGAACUUUCUCAGGCUCCUUACACCUUUACACAACGUUUGCCCUAUUGAGAAACUGGUUCUGCUUGAAACUUCCCAUGGCUUGAAGCAAGUAACCAUGACGGUGUUUGCAUACCAGUGGGGUUUUACCCUCCCGUAAGUGCCAAUAAGGAUGAAGUGGUAUUUAGAUGACGUGAUAUGAAGGACAGCAUUGCAGCCUGUACAGCCCAGAAUGUUUGAACUAUGUGAAAGGUUCAUACCAGAUUUCACAAUACACGGGCGGCCAAGAAAGCCUAGCCCACAGUACAAGGUGAACGCACCCUGUCCCAGUUCUCAUGGGGUUCUCAGCUCCCCUCACACCCCUUUCUGCACUCAUGCAGUACCUGUGGUCUGGACCACUCAGCUCAGUUUUGCAUUAGGCUUCCCCUGCCCCCAAGGUAACUGUGUUUCUCAGCUAGCUGUAAUUUCCCUAAGAACACAAACAAUAUCCUAUACUUCUUUACUGCCUAUCAGAGUCUCAGCUAUAGUUUAACUAGAGGACACAAUAAAAUAUCAUCAAUAAAUGCUGCUUGACUUGACUUGAACAUUCAUUUAAAAAAAGGUCCACGUAAAGAAGGAAUCAGAAGAUAAAAAAAAUUGUGGGUAUGUUUGCAUAUAUAUGUAUGUUAGAGACAGGAUCUCACUCUAAGCCCAGGCUGACCUGAAACUCACUAUGUAGCCAAGGCUAGCCUUGGUUGAAGAGCAAUGCUAUUGCUUCAGCCUCCUGAGUCCUGGGAUUACAGGCUGGAAGCGGCCAUCGUUAUUUGUAAUGGGAACGACAGUGGUAGUGUCCUUAGACACUGUAUUGGUACUUUCCUAGGUAAGAGAAAAAGAGGUUCAACCCCAUGCCCAAGGCCCCUUCCAUGUCUUAUGUCCCCUUUCCAAUCACAGAGGUCAUACAGUUAGAACUUGAGGAGCUUCAGAGACGAAUUCAAGUCUCUCAUUUCAUAGCUGGAAGCAAGUAAGAGCAGCUGGUUGGGGUGGAGAAGGUGUGUCUAGGCUUCACUGUAAUGGUGGGAUAUCUCUCAUCUUCAGAGCCUCAGCUCUUCAAGUUUAAAGUGAGGACAGUGAAGCUUAUAUCUGUGAUUGCUGUGGGAAUUAAGUGAUAGGCACACAAACAGGGCUGGGCCCCAGUAGAUGCUCAAUAGGUGCUGACCAGCUCUUCUUCUUUCUCUGGAGUGUCCUUCCCAAAGGCAGAAAACAAUGCAGCAUUGUCCUGCCCUGCUUUUCCAGCCAGUUCCCCCUUUGAUCUCCUGUUAUCCAGCCUCCCAGCCACUAGAAAACUGGGUCAAGCAUUAGCAAAUUAUUUUCACUGGAUAUUUGUCUAAAAUUAUCUUGAGUGCAUCUGUAUAACUUGAAACAAAGGAAUUCAGAAGACAGGAGUACUGAAUUCUACGGAGAAAUCAAAGGUCUCAAAGUUUGUCCUUUGCUAACUACAGGGUUUGCUCCUGAUGGAGUGUUCAUGGCCUUUUACCCCCUCUUUUUUUCCUUUUGGAAAAAAACCCACCUCUGAUAUAUUUAUGCGAUUGGCCUUGCAACCUGAUAUUUUUCACCUGUCUGAGGACAGACUCUGCUGUUUAUUCAUCAAUCAACUGAAGCUGAACUGAAAACAUCGCUGUUGAGGUUGUUAAAAGAAUUUCGAUGUAAUGGUGAUGCCCACUGAGCCUUUGUAGUGCUGUUUAGUCUCAGAAGCAACAUCAUCGUUAAUAAAAAUGAGAGGCUAAUGGUAAACCUUUCUUUCCCUCACUGGACAAGUUUUAAUGGGAUAACUGUUUCUUUAGAGAUUUGUAGUUAGUUAACAUCACUGUGUUUUGUUGUAAAUGUUUUAGUAUGAAGCAGAAUUAGAUUAUACCAGAAAAAAAAAUCUUAAUUAUAAGAAUUUUCAAAUUGGAAUUGACCAGUCAUCAUUUAGUGAAUGCAAGGCAGAGAGAUGAAGCAGGGGCCAACUUUCUAGGUAAUUUCUUUGUAGAGGAUGUAGGAAGUGGAACACUGGCCUUCCAAAGUAUUUAUAUUCUAAUCUUCAGAUGCUGGACAAGGUUACAAGGAAAAGAGAUUUAAAGUUGCAAAGAGAAUUACAGUUUCUAAUUGCUGGGGAGAUUGGUAAAAUGCUUUGCUUUGCAAACACAAAGACCCAAGUUUGAACUCCCAGUAGAGGCCCAAGCCUGAGAUGACUCAAUGAAAAAAGCUCUUGAUGCACAAGUUAGACAACCUGAAUCCAAUCUCUGGCACCUACGGUAGGAGGAGAGACCCCACGUCCAGAAGUUAACCUUUGAUCUCAACUCAGUAAUCAUGCCAUUGGCACACGAGCACCCACUUGCACAUAUGUGCACACAAACAUAGCACACCAAACUAAACCAAGAAUGCUGGUUAUAUGCAUCUGCAGUUGCUGUCGAGGUCCUGACAGACAGAGCCCCAGAGCUUCUUGGGCAGUUAGCCUGGGGUAAAGUUCAGAGACAGUGACAGAGCCUCUCUCCUAGAACAGGGUGGGGAACAGUUGAGGAAACAAGCACAUAAACACACAUGCACACAGCCACACAGUCACACACACACACACACACACACACAGAGAGGAGAGAGAGAGCUAAUUAGCGGAAUAAUUUGGAUUUUCCAGGUAGAACAAAAUAAGAGUCCUUAGCACAGAGGCUCUCAGCCUUCCUAACACUGCAACCCUUUAAUACAGCUCCUCAUGUUGUGGGGACCCCCAACCAUACAAUUAUUUUCGUUGCUACUUCAUAACUGUAAUUUUGCUACUGGUAUGAAUCAUAAUGUAAAUUGUCUGAUAUGCAGGUUAUUUAAUAUGUGACUGAAGUGAAAGGAUCGUUCAACCAUCUCCCCUCCUCCCCAUGGGUCUCCAUUCACAGGUUAAGAACCACUACCUUCACAGAAGUAGGCAAAACAAGAGAGAACCUUGGGAGUAGAGUUAUAGGCAGUUCUGGGCUGCGGUGUGAGCGCUAUCUGCUCUUUCACCAUUGAAAGAGUGGUAAGUACUCUUAACUAUGGAGUCAUAGCUCCUGCCCCUAGGUUUUAUCCUUAAUUUGUCAUUUAGUUUCAACAUCUAAGAACAGUAACAGCUAGCCGGGUGUGGUGGCGCACACCUUUAAUCCCAGCACUCGGGAGGCAGAGGCAGGCAGAUUUCUGAGUUAGAGGCCAGCCUGGUUUACAAAGUGAGUUCCAGGACAGCCAGGGCUGCACAGAGAAACCCUGUCUCGGAAAAACAAAAAAACAAAAAACAAAAGCAAAAACAGAACAGUAACAGCUAAUAUUUCAUAUGAGUUAUUUCUUGCAUUCCUGCUCUUUUGCUCAGUGUUCUCCAUGUCUCCAUGUUUGACCCUCCCACAUUGCUGAUACCAUUUAUCAAUGAGGAAUUUGGGGCCUGUGGAAAGUGCUAACGUGCAGGGCUUUCAUUACUUAUCUUCACUGCCUUCCGUGACGGGUGUCACCAGUCCUCUCAGUUCUCUUUCUGCAGUGUGUCUUGGGUUUGUCCCUUUCUUUCAUGGUCACUGCCACUGUGUCAGUCUUAUUUCUUUUUGAUUUAUGCCUGAGUUGUUGCCAUGGUCCAACAUGGUGUCCCUUGCUUCAUAAUUCCCUUCCUUAGCUUCUCUAAUAUGCUCUAGUCAGACUGAGGCAGCCCAAUUUCUACUUUUAUCCCAAGAGUCUUGACAUUCAUACUUUUUUUAAAAAAUUAUUUAAGUUUUAUUGCAUUAUGAUAAGAAAGGGACAUAAUUUCAAUUUAUCUGCAUUUGUUAACAUUUAAAAACAUAUUUUGAGUAAAUAGACUUACAUCAUAUUCUUCUUUCCCUUUUGUACCCCAACUUCUCCCAGAAACCCCCUUCAAAUUCCUUUCAUUUUUAUCAUAUUCUUUAAAAUUUAUAAAAUAUUAUAACAAUAAAAAUGAGUAUUAUAAAAGUUGUUUGAUAUAAAACAAUCAAUUGAACAACUUUAUGUAGAUGCUUGUCUACAGCAAUACUGAAAAUACAUACAUUUUUCUCAAUAUAAAUUUUAAGUAACUCCAAAUAUAUUAUCGGUAUGAUAUUUUAAAAUAAUAUAUCACUAUUAGUUUUUUUAAUGAACAUAAAUAGAUAAAGUCUUUUUGUUUGUUUGUUUGUUUUGUUUUUAGUAGAGCUUAAAAUCUUGGCUCUUGCUGGGCGUGGUGGCACAUGCCUUUAAUCCCAGCACUCGGGAGGCAGAGGCAGGCGCUUUUCUGAGUUCGAGGCCAGUCUGGUCUACAAAGUGAGUUCCAGGACAGCCAGGGCUACACAGAGAAACCCUGUCUUGAAAAAAACAAAAACCAAAACAAAACAAAAUCUUGGCUCUUACUGUGAUACAAGCCCAAAAUAAGAACAAUUUUUGGACAUUGAAGUUCGUUGUAAUAAGGCUGUACUUGAAUGUCCAUUCACGCUUUUAAGAUGGAGAAAAGAUACUCAAAUGUCCCUGAAAUCAUCUUUGCAUAGUGUGGAAAUGGCACUAUUUUCUAUAGAAAUUAAACAACAUAUUAAAAGGAAAAGGAGAAAAAUGUUAAAAUACGAUUGAAAUCACAGGACAAGGCGUAUAAUACGGAUAGGCAACUACUGUAGUCUAUAAGUGUGUAGCUCAAAUUCGCUUUGUUUCAGACUUGGGAAGCUAAUCUUAGGAAUAAGGUCAUCUCAGACGAGCAAUUCCAUUUUUGGAGACAAAGUUUUGUAGAAAGAUAUGUUACUUGGGGUUGAAGAGAUGGCUUAGCUGUUGAGAGCACUGCUGCUCUUGCAGAGGUCGUGGGUUCAAUCCCCAGCAACCACAAGAACGCUCACAGACAUCUGUAACUCCAGUUCCAGAGGACCCAAUGCCUUUCCUGACCUUUGCUCGCACCAGUCUUGCAUGUGGUACACAUAUGUACAUGAGGCAAACACUCAUAAAAACAUUACGUAGUAUUUUCCACUUAUUUAUAAACUUUAUUGUGACUAUUGUAGUAAAUGACUAUACUAUGAUAAUUUUAAGAAGAAAAGAUGAAUUCCAUGAGAGGAAGUGCUAAUAAUCUGUGGUGUCAGAUGGCUGCAGUGGUCAUCUUUAGUGCCUACACUUACCAACUCCUGACACUGGGAAUCUUGACUGUUCAUCAUUCUAUUUGUCACUUAUGCCUCAGUGAAGUUGGAGAUGGGGUAGACAGCACACCAGGAAAGCUGUGACCACUGAAUGACGUGGCCCUUUCCCAUGUCUUUGAGACAGAGUCCUGAUAUGUACUCAGGCUGGCCUCAGCCUCAUUUCAAGCCACUUGCCUCAGCCUACUAAGGGCUGAGUGUAUGGGUAAAGUCCACCAGACCAGGUAAAAAAGAGUCUUAUUUUCUUCUUCUUCUUUUUUUUUUUUUUUGG